rnacentral:rRNA from 1 species
CCUACGGGAGGCAGCAGUGGGGAAUAUUGGACAAUGGGGGAAACCCUGAUCCAGCGACGCCGCGUGAGUGAAGAAGUAUUUCGGUACGUAAAGCUCUAUCAGCAGGAAAGAAAAUGACGGUACCUGACUAAGAAGCCCCGGCUAACUCCGGGCCAGCAGCCGCGGUAAUACGUAGGGGGAACGCGGUCUCCGGGUGUACUGGGGGUAAAGGGAGCGUAGACGGGAGCGCAAGUCUGGAGGGAAAUGCCGGGGCCCAACCCGGGAACUGCGCUGGAAACUGUGAGGCUGGAGUGCAGGAGAGGUAAGCGGAAGUCCUGGUGGAGCGGUGAAAUGCGUAGAUAUCAGGAGGAACAGCGGAGGCGAAGGCGGCUUACUGGACUGUAACUGACGUUGAGGCUCGAAGGCGUGGGGAGCAAACAGGAUUAGAUACCCUUGUAGUC